AGAAUAUCUAAGUUGCUCUUCUGCUGAAUUAAACAGGUACAGCAUAUGUCGGUAAGUGAUAUAAGGCAAAUACAACAAAUGUCUGAAAAUCAUGCUUUGGUAAAAGUAUUGGAGGACUUAACUGUGUUUAUCAAAUUGCUAAGCAGCUCUAAAGCUGGCAAAGGACAAGCCUUCAACAUGAAAGGGUGCAGGGCUCCCACUAGAAGAGGAAAGAAAGCAUGGAUUCUUCUCCAGAAAUGCUCCUUUAAUAAUUAACUUUGGAGACAGAGUUGAAGCCACAAGCAAAUGGCAAUGAAGCCAAUGGUCCAAGACACCAGAAAAAUUUUCGGUGGCAAAACACCAAGUACAGGCAAGGAAUUCAAAGU
rnacentral:lncRNA from 1 species